AUGACCGGUACGUUUGCCAUCCUGCCAAGCGCAUGUGGACUGGACGUCCAGCUGGAGAGGUCGGCUCACCGGCUGUUGGACAGCAUCCUUCUGGACUGGAAGGGACAGGGAACAACCGAGAAGGUGAGGGCGCUGUGCUCUCGGACCAGAGACGACGAGCUCUGGGAGGGCAGGGUGGAGCUGAGGCAGCCUUUUACCCCGCCCCUUUCGCAUCUUCACCUCCGCGCACUCUCGCACACGCGCGCUGGAGGGCAGGGGAGCAGCCACCAGGCUUGGCUGUCCUGGAAUGACGGAAAGCCCAUGAAUGUUACUGUCACGGUGAACAGACAAUGGCAAGGCUCGUCCACCAGGGGGCAGGCUUGUCUUUCCAUGUCUCCUGGCCAGGUGCGAGCGGCGCUCCCCUUUGCGGAGCUGGAAGGGUGCGGCUCCGUGGCGCGGGAGGGGAACUCGUACUCCCAGACGGCAGAGCUGAAGUGGGGGGGCAGGCGCAUCACCCAGGCGAUGAAGUACCAGAGAGGCGCCAGGGGUGGACACACCCUGCAGCUGGAGGGGGGGGCCGACAACGUGUCCCCCCAGCCCUGUCCGUCCCACACCUUCCUCGCCCAGGUGCACACCAACGGCCGCGACCGGCUGGAGCACCACCUUCUCCUGGGCCUGUGCCCCCCACACCCGUCUUGGGCUGUGUCUGGGUACCACCGCGUCGGCACAGGCCAGGAGCUGCUCUACUCCCAGACGCGUCUCUCGGUGUCCGGUCAGUCCCAGUACAGCGGUCUGACCGUGGUCCUGACGAACACCUCCAUGCCUCUGCGCACCAACUUUUCCUUCCACACCGAGUUACAAGUUGGCGAUGGGGCUUUGGAGCUCGGGGGAAGUGUGUUCUCCUCCCGCCGGGGGGGUGGGCUUCAGGUGGGGGCUGUGCUCGACCGCAGCGAGCGCCUCUGGCUGCAGGGGGCGCUGGAGGGUCGCUGUGUGCAAGCAGCUGCAGGAUACAAUGACGGCGUACUGUCAGAUGACAACCUGACGGUGGCACUGUGUCUCGAGGGGCGUCGACACGUAAUACUGGAGGUCCAAAGGACAGAGGACGGAGUCAAGCCAGAGUCGCUGGCAUCCAUCUCUUUGAGGGCGGCCAAUCAAAGCCUGACGUUCACUGCACAAGCCUGCAUGGAAAGCCUGCAGGCAGCAGAGGCGAGAGCGUGUCUUCUGGGCUCACGUGUGAGGAAUAAACUGCUGGACAAAAUUCGAGUCCUGCAGCGCCUCCUGCUGGAGAUCAGACGCCAGGACAACGCUCUGCUGUGGGAGAUGAGCGAGAGGCCCCUGCGUUGGGCCCAGAAGGCCGAGGCGCUGCUGGUGCAGAGGGUCGCGGGAGCCUGGGCCGCGUGGAGGAAAGGCGUCCUGCGGCACUCCCUCACUAACCGCUUACCGCGGUGCCUCGAGUCCCUGCGCCACCUGUCCCAGCAGCUGCAGCAGGAGCUCAAGAGGCCGCUGGCCACCCUGGCGGGGGCCUACCAGGACGCGACCGGCCGACGGCUCGACGCCACUUGGAAAGAGACGGUGGUGCUUUGGUCUCGAAAGCUGGCGGAGCAACUGCCUGCAGUUCUGGAGGAGCACCAGCUGGGGGCGCCGCUGAGAGCGGCGCUGGGGGCGCUCACUGCCGCACUGGACCUGGUGAGUCAGCAGAUGGCACAGUGGGCGGAGUCCAGGUUGGGGGCGGCCCUCGUAGGGAUCAGAAGACGACUGGCAUCUCUCUACAAACUGUCACACGGCCGCUGCGAGGUGAGUGUCCAGCUGCCGUUACCGAGGGGCGCCUGGUCGGACGUGGGCGGGGCCGGGAUGGUGGAGUUCCUGCUGGACGAGUGGCUCCUGCGGCCCAUGGUGACCGUGGCAUCCCUGCGACCCGCCGCCGAGCUCUACCGCCUCAAGAGGAGGAUGAUGGAGAGUCCCUUCAACCACCAGGCUCUGCUGGUGUCUGACCAGUUCGCCCUGUCCUUCGACGGGCGCCUCUACGAGCUUCCCGGCCGCUGCCCCCUCCUCCUGGCCCGGGACCUCAUGGGCGGCUCCUUCACCAUGGUGCUCAGCCCCAAUACAGCGCCAGAGCGCACCCUGCUGGUGGAGAUGAGCAACACGACCGUGAGCAUUUCGCCCCACGGCCAGGUGGAGAUGAACUGCCGUGAGACAGACGAGAGCUUCAGUGACAGCGGCGUGUCGGUUAGGAGAGAUGGGGUACUCAUCCAAGUCUCCAAUCAGAACGGAGCGCUGCUGUCAUGUGACCUGUCGCAGGAGGUCUGCAGUUUGACGCUGGAUGGAUGGCAACAUGGUGUGUCUAUGGGGCUCCUGGGGACCAAUGACAAUGAAGCAGGAAAUGAGCUCACCCUCCCCGACGGCUCCCAGGCGGAUGGCGAGGACCACUUCCUCCAGAGCUGGCAGCUGAAGCCACACUGCCGCCGAGGCCCUUGUUCCAAUACCUCCAAGGCCGAAGCGACCUCCGACCUCCUCAGCUGCGCCUCCCUCUUCUCGGAUCUGGACUCCCCCCUCGGCUCAUGCUUCCGGGUGGUGAGUCACGCCCCACGCACACACACACACACACACACACACACACACACACUCACACGCACUCCAUAUUCUUCUUUCUGUUUUUUCUGGUUUUUCCCAUAA
ensembl:lncRNA